UUCUUCCUACGGGAGGCAGCAGUGAGGAAUAUUGGUCAAUGGACGCAAGUCUGAACCAGCCAUGCCGCGUGCAGGAAGACGGCUCUAUGAGUUGUAAACUUCUUUUGUCAAGGGACAAAAUCAGGCUCGAGAGCCUGACCGAGGGUACUUGAAGAAAAAGCAUCGGCUAACUCCGUGCCAGCAGCCGCGGUAAUACGGAGGAUGCGAGCGUUAUCCGGAUUUAUUGGGUUUAACGGGUGCGCAGGCGGUCUGUUAAGUCAGCGGUCAAAGCCCGGGG
rnacentral:rRNA from 1 species